AUUGAACGCUGGCGGAAUGCUUUACACAUGCAAGUCGAACGGCAGCACGGGGGCAACCCUGGUGGCGAGUGGCGAACGGGUGAGUAAUACAUCGGAACGUGCCCAGUCGUGGGGGAUAACGUAGCGAAAGCUACGCUAAUACCGCAUACGAACUCUGGUUGAAAGCGGGGGACUCGCAAGAGCCUCGCGCGAUUGGAGCGGCCGAUGGCAGAUUAGGUAGUUGGUGGGGAAAGGCCUACCAAGCCGACGAUCUGUAGCUGGUCUGAGAGGACGACCAGCCACACUGGGACUGAGACACGGCCCAGACUCCUACGGGAGGCAGCAGUGGGGAAUUUUGGACAAUGGGCGCAAGCCUGAUCCAGCCAUUCCGCGUGCAGGAUGAAGGCCCUCGGGUUGUAAACUGCUUUUGUACGGAACGAAAGGACCUGAGUUAUACCUCGGGCUCAUGACGGUACCGUAAGAAUAAGCACCGGCUAACUACGUGCCAGCAGCCGCAGUAA
rnacentral:rRNA from 1 species